AGAGGCUGAGGGCCAUGCCUGGCCUCCAUGACAGGCACUAAAUCUCCAGGACACACCUGGCCAAAACCAACAACAAAAUCCUGGAGGGAAUCACACUUCAGGCUCAGGAAGGGUCACCUAGUCUGGAAUGAAAGAUUUUUCACCCUUUCCCCCAAAAGAAUUCAGACUUCAAGCAGCUCUGAAAACAUCAACAACAAAACAUGUACAUUUAAUAUGUUAAUCUGGUGUUCAGGAUGUAUAUAUAUUGUAUUAUAUGUUACAUAUAUUCAACCUGCCCAUUAUUGAUGUUAUCAACAUAUUCAUAGCUUUUCUUUCCGAGGGCUAGGCACGCUCUCCUUUUUUGGUAGCCACGUGCCUGAUAUCCCUCUAAUGUAGCCUAAUAACAAUUUUAGCAUUCAGAUGAAGCGAUUUCAUUCUGUGACUGCCUUUUCUAUUAGAUUUGAUUUUGAGAAGCCCCAGUGGGUGCCUUCCAGGCAGAGAGCUAUCUGUGAGGCCGCUACCGACUCAAUAGCAGCCUGGGCUAACCUUGACCUUUCCCGAGACCCCACUGCAUCUGGUGCCAGCCUGCUCUCCGCCACCUCCCUCCCCUCCCUGCUCCACAGUCAACAUUGAUCAAGGCAGAACUGAGCGCUUAGUCUCCUGGAAGGGCUGGGCGGACUCGGGAGGACAGUGCAUUUCAGUAUAUGGAAAUGAUGAAGCCUCUUAUGCAAUCAUAAAUCUACAUAGGAGUCUUGUGAUUUGAUAUUUCAUUCACCUCCAAAGAUUUUUUUUCUCCCUCCCAACAGGGAUUUAUAAGCUCAGUGAGAGCUCCCGGACAACGGCUUUCCCCAACACCUGGAAAUUAUCAAGCUUGCUGCUUGCUGAAUGAUGCUAACAGCUCCAACGCUGCAAAUUCAUUUUUAACAACUCACUGGCUUUUAUCUAGGAUUUGUGUGUGUGUGUGUGUGGUGUGUGUGUGUGUGUGUGUGUGUGUGUGACACACACACACACACACACACGUGCCUUUCUGUAAGAAACUACCAAAGCAACACAUAAUAUCAAAGACACCAAAAAUCAAACCUGACUUAAAUAUCUCCACCUCCACCGCCUCCACACCCAUCCCGGUUCUGCGUUUGGAGACAGAUCAGGUUUCCUGCCUGCAUUCUGUCCCCUUUCUAAAUCAUUAAGAAGGGACAGAUAAGGAGGCAAAGAGGAGCGUCGGGGAGAAGAGAUCUCCUUAGCUCCCUGGGAACUGCGGCGUCCAGGCGUCCACCAUGGAGCGAUCGGUCUCCGUCCUAGCUAACUAGGACUAAGUACAACCCCCCAAGUGGAUACACA